CCCUUAGAUGUUCUGGGCCGCACGCGCGCUACACUGAUGCAUUCAACGAGCCUAUCCUUGACCGACAGGUCCGGGUAAUCUUUGAAUCUGCAUCGUGACGGGGAUAGAUUAUUGCAAUUAUUAAUCUUCAACGAGGAAUGCCUAGUAGGCGCAAGUCAUCAGCUUGCGUCGAUUACGUCCCUGCCCUUUGUACACACCGCCCGUCGCUCCUACCGAUUGGGUGUGCUGGUGACAUGUUCGGAUCGGCCGUUUGUCGCGGUUUCCGCGUCAUGUGGCUGAGAAGUUCAUUAAACCCUCCCACCUAGAGGAAGGAGAAGUCGUAACA
rnacentral:rRNA from 1 species